GAAUAGUACCGUGAGGGAAAGGUGAAAAGAACCCCGGGAGGGGAGUGAAAUAGAACCUGAAACCUUAUGCCUACAAGCAGAUAGAGUCUUAAGAGAGAUGAUAUCGUACUUUUUGUAGAACGGGCCAGCGAGUUAUGGUGUGCGGCAAGGUUAAGUAAUGAAGUUACGGAGCCGUAGGGAAACCGAGUCUGAAUAGGGCGUAAUAGUCGUAUGCCAUAGACCCGAAACCAGGUGAUCUAUCCAUGAGCAGGUUGAAGUGAAAGUAAAAUUUCAUGGAGGACCGAACCGGGUAGCGUUUAAAAGCUAUCGGAUGACUUGUGGAUAGGGGUGAAAAGCCAAUCGAACUUGGAGAUAGCUGGUUCUCCUCGAAAUAGCUUUAGGGCUAGCCUCAAUUUAGUUUACAGGGGGUAGAGCACUGAAUACCGUAGGGGUGUUAGACAUUACCGAAAGUUAUCAAACUGCGAAUACCUGAUAAAUGAUGAUUGGGAGUCAGACUAUGUGGGAUAAGCUUCAUAGUCAAAAGGGAAAGAGCCCAGACCACCAGCUAAGGUCCCUAAAUAUAGAUUAAGUGGUAAAGGAUGUUUUACUACUUAGACAACCAGGAUGUUGGCUUAGAAGCAGCCAUACAUUUAAAGAGUGCGUAAUAGCUCACUGGUCAAGUGGUAGAGCGCCGAAAAUGAACGGGGCUAAAAUCUAAUACCGAAGCUGUGGACUAAUUUAAUUAGUGGUAGAGGAGCAUUGUGUAAGGGGCGAAGCUAAGUUGGAAGACGAAGUGGACUUUACAGAAGAGAGAAUGCUGGCAUGAGUAGCGAAAAGGAGGGUGAGAAUCCCUCCCGUCGAAAGCCUAAGGAUUCCUGAGGAAGGCUCGUCCUCUCAGGGUAAGUCGGGACCUAAGCCCAGGCUGAAAAGCGUAAGCGAUGGACAACAGGUUGAGAUUCCUGUACUAUCUUUGAAUGUUUGAGAGAUGUACUGACGCAGGAGGAUAUGUUGAGCGUGUGAAUGGUAGAGCACGUCUAAGCAAGUAGGUAGAGAAUAGAGGCAAAUCCCUAUUCUUAAUAUCGAGAUGCGAUGGGGAGCGAAAAAUAAGUAGUGAAGCAACAGAUUCCAAACUGCCAAGAAAAGGUACUAUUGAGUGAGAAGAUACCCGUACCAAAACCGACACAGGUAGGCAAGGAGAGAAUCCUAAGACGCGCGGAAGAACCUUUGUUAAGGAACUCGGCAAAAUGACCCCGUAACUUCGGGAGAAGGGGUACCAUUAGAUGUGAAAUACUUACGUAUGGAGCAUAGAGUGGUCGCAGAGAAUAGGCCCAAGCAACUGUUUACCAAAAACACAGGUCUCUGCUAAAUCGAAAGAUGAAGUAUAGGGGCUGACACCUGCCCGGUGCUGGAAGGUUAAGGGGAAAUGUUAGAGCAAUCGAAGCAUAGAACUUAAGCCCCAGUAAACGGCGGCCGUAACUAUAACGGUCCUAAGGUAGCGAAAUUCCUUGUCGGGU
rnacentral:rRNA from 1 species